UACAGAGGUCUCAAGCGUUGUUCGGAUUCAUUGGGCGUAAAGGGUGCGUAGGCGGUGAGGUAAGUCUGGUGUGAAAUCCCGGAGCUCAACUCCGGAACUGCACUGGAUACUGCCUUACUUGAGCACUGGAGAGGGAACUGGAAUUUACGGUGUAGCAGUGAAAUGCGUAGAUAUCGUAAGGAAGACCAGCGGCGAAGGCGAGUUCCUGGACAGUUGCUGACGCUGAGGCACGAAGGCCAGGGGAGCAAACGGC
rnacentral:rRNA from 1 species